GGGGAUGGAGGUCCACCAGCUAGCCAUACCCUUGGUGGCUAGAGGGCACACACGAGGAUGGCUGCCCCCUGAUCUCUGCUGAGAUCAUCCUGGGUGGCAGUGAUUGCAGCAGCGUGGGUGACACUGCAGGGGCUCAGCACAAGGAACCCAAAGCAAAGGAAGCAGAGAAAGGACACUUACCUGAGUCUCCAAGGAAAAUUUAUUUCCUGAAGGGGGUCAGAAGCAAAUGCUGAAAAAAACAGGGUCCAGCGAGCAUUUCUAAAGAGGGGAAGGUACGAGGGGUGAAUACAAUUCUUGAGCAAUGGGGGGAUCUUGGGUGAGGAUAACAUCACAUGACUUAACCAAUAGCGAAUACUCAGGGGAGGGGAGAAGCCUUUCAAAUGAAUAAAUCAUCGAAGCAGGGCUAACUGACAGGGAACAUUCUAGAACACAAGGGGAGUGGUAACAGUAAGUGGCCAAGGGGCAAGGUGACUAGGAUUGGCAGGGACAUAUAAGGGAAUGAAGGGAGGAGCAAGGAGACUGACACAGUGAAGAACAGACAAGCGGCGGGAAAACUUUGAACAGCUGAACAUCAAAGUACCACAAGACAUGGAAUGGUUGGAUGGAUGGGCAGAGUCCAGUAAGAUGAAGUUUACUCUUAAUAAUGACAUAAUUUAACUUCUAUCAAACUUCCCAACACUAUUGGUGAGGAAGCCAGCUAUGGGAGGUACCCCACUGGACCUGUUGUUUGUGAACAGAGAAGGACUGGUCAGUGGUGUGAUGGCUGGAGGUCAUCUUGGACACAGCAGUGACAGAAUGAUAGUUUUCAAUUCUUUGAGAAGGAAGUAGCAGGGUCUGCAGAACUGUUACUUUGGAAUUCCAAAGUUCAGACUUUUUCCAGUUUAGGAAACUGGUUCAUAGACUCCCUUGUGAAGAGAAUGGCAAAGAAGCCCAGGAAGACUGGACAAUCUUUGAGAAGGACAUCUUCCAGAUACAGGAGAAACCCCAUGUACUCAAAAGUGUGGUAGGCAUCACAGAAGAAGACUGGCCUGGUUAAACAGAGGACUUUGGCUUGAACUCAGGAAAAAAAAAAAAAACAGGACAGUUCAUUACUCUUUUAUGAAGGAGCAGCCAAUUCAGGAGGACUACAAAGUUAUCAUGAGAUUAUGGAGGAUUAUAAUUAGAAGUGCCAAAGCCCAGUGAGAACUUAAUCAAACUCCUGCUGUAGAAGAUUAGAUGUUAGGAAAAAUUUCUUUGAAAGGGAGCCCUGGAACAGGCUGCCCAGAGAGGUAGUGGAGUCACUAUCCCUCAAGGCAUUUAAAAGACCUGUGUAUGUGACACUUAGGAACAUGAUUUAGUGGUGUCCUUGGCAGUGCUGGGUUAAUGAUUGGAGUCAAUGAGCUUAAAGGUCUUUUCCAAUGUAAAUGACCCUAUGAUUAUAUGAUUCCUUAGGUUUCCUAAAAUGUCACAGUACAUGAAAAUGCAGUAAAAUUUUUAUUGAGGCUAUGUAUCAUAAAAAAGUCUACCAAUCAACAGUGUUACGACAGGUGGCUAUGCAAAAAUGAAAUAAUUAUUUCUUAACAGAAUUAAAUUAUUAUAUAGUGUUUUAAACUUCAUAAGUAUUUAUUCAUACUUUCUGGGCACUACUUUUUCCUCACAGAAUUUCAGUUUACACACACUUUUUACUUAGCUUGUGUUGACACUUCACACACUGAAGACUUCACCCAUCUCCUCUUUGCAGUACAGCAUUGUAGAACCAUCCAUGAUAUAGGAUUGUAAAGGUUUUAAUGAAACAGAGAACAAUCACAUCUGAUUUUCUUCCAGUUCCUUCUGAUGAGAGAUUUUAAUUUCACUGCACCUAAGUGAACAGAUUAUAUUUUUCUUUCAUUGUGUCUGGCUUGGUGAACUCCUUUAGCCUUGAUGGGCUGGUAUUUGUUAUAUUCUAACAGCUUUCAAAAAAUAUUUACCACUACUACCAAGCUACCCAUAGGAAAUUUCACUCUGCUGACAGGUUAACAUUAGCCUUGGAGUCCUUUGAGAUGGCUUGACGGAAUAUUUCCUCAAAGGAACACACCACAUGGAGAAAGAUGAUAAAGCAGAAGAGCAAGUUCAAAUAAAUUACUGUAUUUAUAUCUUUGUAUAAAGAUUGUUAUCAUCAUUGGAGCUAAGAUCAGUCUAUCUGCCUAAAACAUAUUCUUCAGUGUUUGCACCUUAAUUUACUGUGCCUGAACUACCACUGAGGACAGACCCUCCAUACCAUUCACAUGGAAAACUUCUAGCAAAGGGUUCUUCCUAAAUCAUGCCGUAGCCGUGGUGUUCAGUAACUCACAGCUAUUAAAUGGAAGAAUACCAAGAAAGUAGAUGAAGGAUAUGCACUGCAAAAUUAGUGUUGGUGCAUUCUAUACCUUUGUAGUGUUUCAGUGUGUUUAAAAUAAUAAAAGAAUGUGCAGGCACACCAUUGUCUGCCAGCUGUUCCUGGGAACAUGUAGAAACCUACAGGAUUCAGCUCCAUAAAUACUAAACAAAAAUAUUUUGACUGAUCACCUUACAAAGUGUGGAGCUAAGACAGAAGUUCUACAUCUUUCAACCUUUUCAGGUGCACGAGAAGGACAGUCAAAAGCUGGCUGAAAUAAUGUUUUUAUCUGUCUUUUGAUACUGGAAUAUUAAUAUUUUCUGUAUUUUAUUAUAAAUUUGAACAGUUUAGAUAACACCUCUAAAUGAAUAAUUUCUAUUCUUAUACUGAAGUAUGAUUCUGGCCUGAAAUUUGCUGCAUAGAGUUAGUGGACUUAGAAGGCUCCUGUCAUGAAGAUAACAGCAAUUUUACCAUGUAUUCAUCAAGUAUUUUCACAUAAGAAAAUAAUUUAUUAAUAAUUUUUUUCAGACAUUCUCUAACUUCACAAGACCGGUUCCUGUGAGGUAGUGGCUGAAUGUAGAAUUAAUGAUUGUUACAAGGAUGUCUGACACAAGGUUUCUUCUUUUAUUUUUUUUCCCCAUUUCUCAUUUCACUGUGUACUAUUAGACUACAGCAGUUAUUAAAAAAAAAAAUAAUAAUGCUAUCAUACAAUGUAUUUCUGUAUGGUUAAGUUGUAAAACAUUUGCAAAAUGGACAAAACUUGUCUCUUUUCAAAUUCACCAUCAUGAAAUUUUCAUAUUAGUGUACUUAUUAAAUAACUAUUAUCUUUUAAAUUAUAGAAAUAAUUUAAACCAAGAAUGAAAAACCCUGAGUUCUCAGGUCAGGUAAAGCAAGUAAAAAACCGGAAUGUUAAGAACACAGAUCCAUCUCAUUUGUUCUUUAUUUCUCUAUAUGUAGCUGUUACAGCACGGACUGAUAAUACAUGAGAACAAAACGGCAAGUGGUGAGAAAUUAUUCUGUUGUAGGAGCUGUAGGAAUCAAAACUUUCUGAGAUUAAGUGACCUACCUAAGAAUAUUACUCCUAGGUAGAGUAAUACAGGAAUUUUGGAUGUUAUAAAUGAGCAUCAGACAUGGAAAUACAGUUCACUGAUUAGAUAGUAAGGUAAGAUUUCAAUUUCCCCAUCCUAUCUAGACUGUUUUUUCUUAUUUCAAGAAAUUCACUAAUUCAGCACACUUAACUCUAGGGAACCACUCAAUAGAACAAACAUAGGUGUCUUAUUUGUCAUGUUUCCAGAGGUAUCUGAAACAUUCACAGAGAUCUGAAAGACAAGACAGGACAGAGAGGGGUCUCUUAAGGCCAGAGAAGUUAUUCAAAACAACAGUAGACUUCCUCAUGCUUAGACAUUAAACACCUUCUUAAACCUGGUCAUCUACGGUUUGCUUCAGUUUCCCACUUUCCCACAACUCCGUGCCAACAGAGAUGCCUUGCAAUCCCAUUUCAUCCAAAGUCAAUACUCAGAUGAAUGGAGGACAUUGUAUCUACAACCAGAAACAGAGAAUCAUAGAAGCAUUAAGGUUAGAAGGGACAUCUGGAGAUCAUCCAGUCCAAAGGGUCACCUACAGCAAAUUACAAAAGAAUGUGUCCAGGUGGGUUUUAAGGGUCUCCAGAGAGGGAGACUCCAUGAGCUCCUUGGGCAGCAUGUUCCAGUGCUCUGCUACCCUCAACAUAAAGCUCUUUCUUCUGUGUAAGGUGAAAGUUCUUGUGGUUUUGUUUAUGUCCAUUGUUCCUCAUCCUGUCACUGAGAACAAAGGAGAAGAGUCUGGCACCAUCCUGCUGGCACCCACCUUUGAGAUUUAAUGACAUGUAUUGACAACAUGCCCUCUCAGUCUUCUCUUCUCUAGAUUAAACAGACCCAGCACCCUCAGCCUUUCCUCACAGGAGAGAUACUCCAAACCCCUAAUUGUCUUUCUAGCUUCCACUAUACCCUUUCCAGUAGCUCCUUGUGUCUCUUGUACUGACGAGCCCAGAAGUGGACACUCCAGAUGUGGCUUCACCAGCGCUGAGUAGAGGGA